rnacentral:rRNA from 1 species
ACAGGUGUUGCAUGGCUGUCGUCAGCUCGUGUCGUGAGAUGUUGGGUUAAGUCCCGCAACGAGCGCAACCCUCAUCCUUAGUUACCAUCAGGUUAUGCUGGGGACUUUAAGGAAACUGCCAGUGAUAAACUGGAGGAAGGUGGGGAUGAUGUCAAGUCAUCAUGGCCCUUAUGGAGUGGGCUACACACGUGCUACAAUGGUGAUUACAAUGGGCUGCAAGGUCGCAAGGCUGAGCUAAUCCUAAAAAAUCAUCUCAGUUCGGAUUGUUCUCUGCAACUCGAGAGCAUGAAGUUGGAAUCGCUAGUAAUCGUGGAUCAGCAUGCCACGGUGAAUACGUUCUCGGGUCUUGUACACAC